rnacentral:tRNA from 1 species
GCCAGGGUGGCUCAAUCAGUUGGGUGUCUGACUUUGGUUCAGGUCAUGAUCUUGCAGUUCGUGGGUUCGAGCCCCAUGUCAGGCU